rnacentral:rRNA from 1 species
AGCGGCGGACGGGUGAGUAACGCGUGGGUAACCUGCCCUAUACACACGGAUAACAUACCGAAAGGUAUGCUAAUACGAGAUAAUAUAAGAGAUUCACAUGGAUUUCUUAUCAAAGCUGAGGCGGUAUAGGAUGGACCCGCGUCUGAUUAGCUAGUUGGUAAGGUAACGGCUUACCAAGGCGACGAUCAGUAGCCGACCUGAGAGGGUGAUCGGCCACAUUGGAACUGAGACACGGUCCAAACUCCUACGGGAGGCAGCAGUGGGGAAUAUUGCACAAUGGGCGAAAGGCUGAUGCAGCAACGCCGCGUGAGUGAUGAAGGCCUUCGGGUCGUAAAACUCUGUCCUCAAGGAAGAUAAUGACGGUACUUGAGGAGGAAGCCCCGGCUAACUACGUGCCAGCAGCCGCGGUAAUACGUAGGGGGCUAGCGUUAUCCGGAUUUACUGGGCGUAAAGGGUGCGUAGGUGGUCUCUUAAGUCAGGAGUGAAAGGCUACGGCUUAACCGUAGUAAGCUCUUGAAACUGGGAGACUUGAGUGCAGGAGAGGAAAGUGGAAUUCCUAGUGUAGCGGUGAAAUGCGUAGAUAUUAGGAGGAACACCAGUAGCGAAGGCGGCUUUCUGGACUGUAACUGACACUGAGGCACGAAAGCGUGGGGAGCAAACAGGAUUAGAUACCCUGGUAGUCCACGCCGUAAACGAUGAGUACUAGGUGU